CGAGCUGUGGCCGAGCGGCAAGCACCGUACCCUCGAGGUCCGGCUACGCUGGUUCGACUCCAGUCAGCUCGA
rnacentral:tRNA from 1 species